rnacentral:rRNA from 1 species
ACAGGGAGCUUGCUCCUGGGUGACGAGCGGCGGACGGGUGAGUAAUGUCUGGGAAACUGCCCGAUGGAGGGGGAUAACUACUGGAAACGGUAGCUAAUACCGCAUAACGUCGCAAGACCAAAGAGGGGGACCUUCGGGCCUCUUGCCAUCGGAUGUGCCCAGAUGGGAUUAGCUAGUAGGUGGGGUAACGGCUCACCUAGGCGACGAUCCCUAGCUGGUCUGAGAGGAUGACCAGCCACACUGGAACUGAGACACGGUCCAGACUCCUACGGGAGGCAGCAGUGGGGAAUAUUGCACAAUGGGCGCAAGCCUGAUGCAGCCAUGCCGCGUGUAUGAAGAAGGCCUUCGGGUUGUAAAGUACUUUCAGCGAGGAGGAAGGCAUUGUGGUUAAUAACCACAGUGAUUGACGUUACUCGCAGAAGAAGCACCGGCUAACUCCGUGCCAGCAGCCGCGGUAAUACGGAGGGCGCAAGCGUUAAUCGGAAUUACUGGGCGUAAAGCGCACGCAGGCGGUCUGUCAAGUCGGAUGUGAAAUCCCCGGGCUCAACCUGGGAACUGCAUUCGAAACUGGCAGGCUAGAGUCUUGUAGAGGGGGGUAGAAUUCCAGGUGUAGCGGUGAAAUGCGUAGAGAUCUGGAGGAAUACCGGUGGCGAAGGCGGCCCCCUGGACAAAGACUGACGCUCAGGUGCGAAAGCGUGGGGAGCAAACAGGAUUAGAUACCCUGGUAGUCCACGCCGUAAACGAUGUCAACUUGGAGGUUGUGCCCUUGAGGCGUGGCUUCCGGAGCU